rnacentral:rRNA from 1 species
UACAGAGGGUGCAAGCGUUGUUCGGAAUUAUUGGGCGUAAAGGGCGCGUAGGCGGUGCGGUAAGUCUGUAGUGAAAUCUCUGGGCUCAACUCAGAGUCUGCUGCAGAAACUGCCGUGCUUUGAGUGUGGAAGAGGGAAGCGGAAUUUCCGGUGUAGCGGUGAAAUGCGUAGAUAUCGGAAGGAACACCAGUGGCGAAAGCGGCUUCCUGGUCCGACACCGACGUCAGGCACGAAAAGCGUGGGGGAGCAAACAGG